AACGUAGGAGACAAACGUUAUCCGGAGUUACUGGGCGUAAAGCGCGUGUAGGUGGUGGGACAAGUCUGCUGUGAAAGCGCCUGGCUUAACCGGGCGAGGUCGGCGGAAACUGUCCGACUUGAGGACGGUAGAGGGGGGUGGAAUUCCCGGUGUAGUGGUGAAAUGCGUAGAGAUCGGGAGGAACACCUGUGGCGAAGGCGGCCCCCUGGGCCGGCCCUGACACUGAGACGCGAAGGCGUGGGGAGCGAACGGG
rnacentral:rRNA from 1 species